CAGUGAGUUCUCCUAUUUUGAUUCCGAGGGAGAAAAAAAAAAAAUGAUGUUCUAGUUAAUCAUUUAAGAAGUUCCAAAUCACCUUUGACUCAAACGCUUGCACCAUCACCUGUCCCUGAAAGUCUCCCAUUGGCCAGCCUCCCUUCCCUCCUGACUGGGGUCAUUGUGAAAAAAGUUGAGAAUGUGCUGGUAUUUGCAAGGUUCAGACAUGAGGAGGGAAAGAAAGUAUGAAAUAGCUGAAAUGUGGGAGCUGUCUCUUAAAUCACCCUUCUCUCUCCAUAUUUAGUCCAUCACCAUGUCUGCAAAGUUGACCUUUCAAAUGUCUUUUCAAUCCACCCUCCAUCUUCGCUGCUGCUGCCUUCCUCCAAGCCACCGGUAUUUUCCAUCUUGUCCUCUGCUUUAGGGGUCCUGUGAGAUCACUCACCUGGUCUCUGUUAAUCCAGUUCCCAUUCUGAACUGAAUAAUACAAAUGGACACUGUCAUUGUUCCACAUAAAUCCCUUCCAUGCUUUUCCACAAUGAUUAUGAUAGAGCUCAGCAUUUUUAACCCCCACAGGGUCAACUUGCUCAGGACUUUCCUGCCUAAGGAGUCUCCUUUGUGCCAGUCCCCACUUUACUCUCUCUGCUCUGCUCACAACUCUCAUAAAUGUUCUGUUCCUCAAAUUCUCAUUUCAGAGUCGCCAUGCAUGCUUUUCCAUCUGCCUGGCAUGGUCCCCACUUCUGUGCUUCCUCAGGGAUCUUUCCAGAUCAGCCACCUCUGUAUGUACCAUCACUAUGGUCAGCCUGCAACAGACUCUCACAAAGUUUCUGCAUUUACUGUACUCACCUAUUCCAGUCUGGUUACUCCUCUUGGUUUAGAAGCUCACAAAGGUAUGGAUGGCUGCCUGUCUCUUGCACCGACCGUCAUAUCCCCAGUACCUACUUAGCUCAGGGUCUGGCCUACCAAGGCACUCAAUAAUACACAUUAACCCUAACCAGGUUAGGGAAACCGACUCUUUAGGCUUAUACCUUGUACAAGUUUCUCCCCCAAUUUAAGAAAACGUCCCCCCCCACAAUAUAAUUUCCUUCUCUACUUUCUGCCCUGUUUUUUCUCCCUCUUUACUGUCAAAUUUCUUACUGAAUUACUAUUGUUAUCUUAGUAUCAUAAUUUACUUAGUUCUUACUGUCAGAAAUUCCAUCAAAUGGAGAUUCAUUGAAUGAGCACAGAUUUGGAGUUUGAGACACCUGAAACCAAGCAUAAAUCCUAGCCCUGGCUAUUUAGUUUAGGUAAAUUACCUGGCUCUACCACCAGUAAGUUAUUCAGGUUCCAUGGAGCUGGGUUUCCUCUUCUAGAAAAUGAGGAUAUUAAUAAUGACUUUAUAGGAUUGCUGGGAGAAAGAAUAGAAUGCAUAUUUAGAAUGUUCCUUUGCAGGAACAUGAUAUAGAUUGCAGUGUCCUACCCCUGUUUCUCAUCCCGACCCUCAUCAGGUAUAGACAAGUAUAUCUAUAAAAUCUCUAAAUUUAGAAAGAAAACAUUUAAUAGCCAUGGACUAAUUGAAGUUUGAUCUUCAGGUGAAAGAACCUGUACUGUUUCUGGAAAUAUGGCCUGGAAGCCACAGUUCUUACUGUUCUAUUGGAACCAGCUUCCCUAGACAACCAGCCUAGUCCAAGAAAACGUCAGGCCCUUACUUAUCAAUUCAGAAAACCAAACUACAUUUACAAACCACCAUCUGAUGUUACCAACACCCCUGACGGAAAAUUUAGGGUAGAUAUGACUGUUGGCAGCUGGAAAAAUCAUAAAGAUGCAUUUUGAUGAGCUGAUGAUGAAAGAAGCUGGUCCUCAGAAACUGUGGAACAAGGGCUGAGCCCACAGCCCCAAAUGGCCAAGGAACCCUAGACUGAGGUAGGCCCAAAGCACUCUUCCAGCACUCUGUCUCCACCAAGCAGAGCACUUAGCUUGCUAUCAUGUUCUGUUACUGUUAGCAAAAGAAAAAUAAAAUAGAAAUGCAACACU